rnacentral:rRNA from 1 species
GGUUAAGCGACCAAGCGUACACGGUGGAUGCCCUGGCAGUCAGAGGCGAUGAAGGACGUGCUAAUCUGCGAUAAGCGCCGGUAAGGUGAUAUGAACCGUUAUAACCGGCGAUUUCCGAAUGGGGAAACCCAGUGUGACUCGUCACACUAUCAUUAACUGAAUCCAUAGGUUAAUGAGGCGAACCGGGGGAACUGAAACAUCUAAGUACCCCGAGGAAAAGAAAUCAACCGAGAUUCCCCCAGUAGCGGCGAGCGAACGGGGAGGAGCCCAGAGCCUGAAUCAGCAUGUGUGUUAGUGGAAGCGUCUGGAAAGGCGCGCGAUACAGGGUGACAGCCCCGUACACAAAAGCGCACAUGCUGUGAGCUCGAUGAGUAGGGCGGGACACGUGGUAUCCUGUCUGAAUAUGGGGGGACCAUCCUCCAAGGCUAAAUACUCCUGACUGACCGAUAGUGAACCAGUACCGUGAGGGAAAGGCGAAAAGAACCCCGGCGAGGGGAGUGAAACAGAACCUGAAACCGUGUACGUACAAGCAGUGGAAGCACAGGUUUACCUGUGUGACUGCGUACCUUUUGUAUAAUGGGUCAGCGACUUAUAUUCUGUAGCAAGGUUAACCGAAUAGGGGAGCCGAAGGGAAACCGAGUCUUAAUUGGGCGUUAAGUUGCAGGGUAUAGACCCGAAACCCGGUGAUCUAGCCAUGGGCAGGUUGAAGGUUGGGUAACACUAACUGGAGGACCGAACCGACUAAUGUUGAAAAAUUAGCGGAUGACCUGUGGCUGGGGGUGAAAGGCCAAUCAAACCGGGAGAUAGCUGGUUCUCCCCGAAAGCUAUUUAGGUAGCGCCUCGUGAAUUCAUCUCCGGGGGUAGAGCACUGUUUCGGCUAGGGGGCCAUCCCGGCUUACCAACCCGAUGCAAACUGCGAAUACCGGAGAAUGUUAUCACGGGAGACACACGGCGGGUGCUAACGUCCGUCGUGAAGAGGGAAACAACCCAGACCGCCAGCUAAGGUCCCAAAGUCAUGGUUAAGUGGGAAACGAUGUGGGAAGGCCCAGACAGCCAGGAUGUUGGCUUAGAAGCAGCCAUCAUUUAAAGAAAGCGUAAUAGCUCACUGGUCGAGUCGGCCUGCGCGGAAGAUGUAACGGGGCUAAACCAUGCACCGAAGCUGCGGCAGCGACACUGUGUGUUGUUGGGUAGGGGAGCGUUCUGUAAGCCGUUGAAGGUGUGUCGUGAGGCAUGCUGGAGGUAUCAGAAGUGCGAAUGCUGACAUAAGUAACGAUAAAGCGGGUGAAAAGCCCGCUCGCCGGAAGACCAAGGGUUCCUGUCCAACGUUAAUCGGGGCAGGGUGAGUCGACCCCUAAGGCGAGGCCGAAAGGCGUAGUCGAUGGGAAACGGGUUAAUAUUCCCGUACUUGGUGUUACUGCGAAGGGGGGACGGAGAAGGCUAUGUUGGCCGGGCGACGGUUGUCCCGGUUUAAGCGUGUAGGUGUGUGUUCCAGGUAAAUCCGGUUCACUUUAACACUGAGGCGUGACGACGAGGCACUACGGUGCUGAAGCAACAAAUGCCCUGCUUCCAGGAAAAGCCUCUAAGCAUCAGGUAACAUCAAAUCGUACCCCAAACCGACACAGGUGGUCAGGUAGAGAAUACCAAGGCGCUUGAGAGAACUCGGGUGAAGGAACUAGGCAAAAUGGUGCCGUAACUUCGGGAGAAGGCACGCUGACACGUAGGUGAAGUGAUUUACUCAUGGAGCUGAAGUCAGUCGAAGAUACCAGCUGGCUGCAACUGUUUAUUAAAAACACAGCACUGUGCAAACACGAAAGUGGACGUAUACGGUGUGACGCCUGCCCGGUGCCGGAAGGUUAAUUGAUGGGGUCAGCGCAAGCGAAGCUCCUGAUCGAAGCCCCGGUAAACGGCGGCCGUAACUAUAACGGUCCUAAGGUAGCGAAAUUCCUUGUCGGGUAAGUUCCGACCUGCACGAAUGGCGUAAUGAUGGCCAGGCUGUCUCCACCCGAGACUCAGUGAAAUUGAACUCGCUGUGAAGAUGCAGUGUACCCGCGGCAAGACGGAAAGACCCCGUGAACCUUUACUAUAGCUUGACACUGAACAUUGAGCCUUGAUGUGUAGGAUAGGUGGGAGGCUUUGAAGCGUGGACGCCAGUCUGCGUGGAGCCGACCUUGAAAUACCACCCUUUAAUGUUUGAUGUUCUAACGUGGACCCGUGAUCCGGGUUGCGGACAGUGUCUGGUGGGUAGUUUGACUGGGGCGGUCUCCUCCUAAAGAGUAACGGAGGAGCACGAAGGUUGGCUAAUCCUGGUCGGACAUCAGGAGGUUAGUGCAAUGGCAUAAGCCAGCUUGACUGCGAGCGUGACGGCGCGAGCAGGUGCGAAAGCAGGUCAUAGUGAUCCGGUGGUUCUGAAUGGAAGGGCCAUCGCUCAACGGAUAAAAGGUACUCCGGGGAUAACAGGCUGAUACCGCCCAAGAGUUCAUAUCGACGGCGGUGUUUGGCACCUCGAUGUCGGCUCAUCACAUCCUGGGGCUGAAGUAGGUCCCAAGGGUAUGGCUGUUCGCCAUUUAAAGUGGUACGCGAGCUGGGUUUAGAACGUCGUGAGACAGUUCGGUCCCUAUCUGCCGUGGGCGCUGGAGAAUUGAGGGGGGCUGCUCCUAGUACGAGAGGACCGGAGUGGACGCAUCACUGGUGUUCGGGUUGUCAUGCCAAUGGCACUGCCCGGUAGCUAAAUGCGGAAGAGAUAAGUGCUGAAAGCAUCUAAGCACGAAACUUGCCCCGAGAUGAGUUCUCCCUGAGACUUAAAGUCUCCUGAAGGAACGUUAAAGACGAUGACGUUGAUAGGCCGGGUGUGUAAGCGCAGCGAUGCGUUGAGCUAACCGGUACUAAUGAACCGUGAGGCUUAACCUU